UACUUGGUGGCGACCGGCGCACGGGUGAGUAACGCGUAUGCAACCUACCUAUCAGAGGGGAAUAACCCGGCGAAAGUCGGACUAAUACCGCAUAAAACAGGGCACCGCAUGGUGAUAUUUGUUAAAGAAAUUCGCUGAUAGAUGGGCAUGCGUUCCAUUAGGUAGUUGGUGAGGUAACGGCUCACCAAGCCGACGAUGGAUAGGGGAACUGAGAGGUUGGUCCCCCACACUGGUACUGAGACACGGACCAGACUCCUACGGGAGGCAGCAGUGAGGAAUAUUGGUCAAUGGGCGGGAGCCUGAACCAGCCAAGUCGCGUGAAGGAAGAAGGAUCUAUGGUUCGUAAACUUCUUUUGCAGGGGAAUAAAGUGCAGGACGUGUCCUGUUUUGUAUGUACCCUGAGAAUAAGGAUCGGCUAACUCCGUGCCAGCCGCGGC
rnacentral:rRNA from 1 species